AACGUAGGGGGCGAGCGUUAUCCGGAUUUACUGGGCGUAAAGCGCCCGCAGGCGGCCUGGUAGGUUGGACGUGAAAGCUCCCGGCUCAACUGGGAGAGGUCGUUCAAUACCGCCAGGCUAGAGGUCAGAAGAGGGGAGUGGAAUUCCCGGUGUAGUGGUGGAAUGCGUAGAUAUCGGGAGGAACACCAGUGGCGAAGGCGGCUCCCUGGUCUGCACCUGACGCUCAUGGGCGAAAGCGUGGGGAGCAAACGGGAUUAGAUACCCCCGUAGUCC
rnacentral:rRNA from 1 species